rnacentral:rRNA from 1 species
AGAGUUUGAUUAUGGCUCAGGAUGAACGCUAGCGGGAGGCCUAACACAUGCAAGUCGAACGGGAUUGGGAGCUUGCUCCCAUGAGAGUGGCGCACGGGUGAGUAACGCGUAUGCAACCUACCUUUAACUGAGGGAUAGCCCAUAGAAAUGUGGAUUAAUACCUCAUAGUUCUAUUGUUCCGCAUGGGAUGAUAGAUAAAGCUCCGGCGGUUAAAGAUGGGCAUGCGUGACAUUAGCUAGUUGGUGAGGUAACGGCUCACCAAGGCUACGAUGUCUAGGGGUUCUGAGAGGAUGAUCCCCCACACUGGUACUGAGACACGGACCAGACUCCUACGGGAGGCAGCAGUGAGGAAUAUUGGUCAAUGGGCGCAAGCCUGAACCAGCCAUCCCGCGUGAAGGAUGAAGGUCCUAUGGAUUGUAAACUUCUUUUAUACACCAAGAAAAACUCCCACGUGUGGGAGCCCGACGGUAGUGUAUGAAUAAGCAUCGGCUAACUCCGUGCCAGCAGCCGCGGUAAUACGGAGGAUGCAAGCGUUAUCCGGAUUCAUUGGGUUUAAAGGGUGCGUAGGCGGCUCUUUAAGUCAGUGGUGAAAUCCUGCCGCUUAACGGUAGAAUUGCCAUUGAUACUGAAGAGCUUGAGUACAGUUGAGGUAGGCGGAAUGUGUAGUGUAGCGGUGAAAUGCUUAGAUAUUACACAGAACACCGAUUGCGAAGGCAGCUUACUNNNCUGUUACUGACGCUGAUGCACGAAAGCGUGGGGAGCGAACAGGAUUAGNUACCCUGGUAGUCCANNNC